rnacentral:tRNA from 1 species
GCGGGAAUAGCUCAGUUGGUAGAGCGCAACCUUGCCAAGGUUGAGGUCGCGGGUUCGAGCCCCGUUUCCCGCUCCA